CACAAGCGCGGGCGACGGUCGAGCAGUGCCCCUGAGCCCCGGCGGGAGGGCUCCGGAGCCCGUCCUGUCACCCGUGCGUUUUAAAAAACCAUACAGCAUGGGGCCCGGGCUUGUCCUGUGGAGAGGUACCCCCUAGCCGGGUUCCCCGGAUGGCCCAGCCCCUUCUCAAGUCCCCAGGUCCUCCUGGGUCGUCCCUUCCCCGUGUGACACCUCCAGUGCUGAGACCCCUGGCGCCCUCAGCCCCUCACCCCAUGGCCAGACCCACCUGGCCUCUCCCUUCCCAAGUAUCCGGGUUCACCAAGUCACUCCGUCCCUGUCCCCUCCACUCCAGGACAGUGCAGAUCUUAGUUUAAGUCAACUCCUGGCCACCGUUGCCCACCUCUACCUCCCUCCUUCCUACCUGCCCUUGGGCCUUUGCACAUGUUCUGCGUGCUGCCUCUCUCCAGCCCCUGUGGGCAGGGACUGCACCCUGCCCUGUGUGCAGUAUUUGAGGUGGGAAGCUCCCAGUGGAGUAUAGGAGGGAUGUUCCCUUCUGAACACACGAGUCCUGGGACUACCUCUUGCAUCCAGGGCCACACGCACCCUGAACUCCCUCCACCCAGCCUUAGCUAACUGCUUGAAGACCUGAGUCAGCACCACAGGACAGGCCAGCCAGUGAGAGGGCAGGACAUCCCUGCCCUGCUGUCCCCACCAGGCCGCAGGAAGGGCUGGCCCCUGAGAGAAGCAAGCACUGACUAGUGCCAAGGACAGACUGUGACCACUCCCAGCCAGUCCCUGGAGGAGUUGCAGAACCUUUCUGAUGGCUGGGGGCAAUGCAGUCCUCUGUGUGGAUGCAUCCUUGUCUUUUAUUCUGAGUCCUCAGAGAUUUCAGCGACUGCAGACAGCCAUGGGGGGCCGAGGACGGCAGUGCCGGACAGCGCUGGGGACACACAGGCCUGCUGGGGACUUCUUUCCACAAGGGUCUCUGUGUAGCCCAGGCUGGCCUGGAACUCAUAGUGAUCCUCCUGCCUCAGCCAAGUGCUGGGAUCACAGGUGUGUGCACCAUGCCGGCCGAUGGUGGGAUUUUCACAGGCCCCACCGCUCCUGUGGCAGAUAA
rnacentral:lncRNA from 1 species